UCUACGCAGUGGUCCUCGCCAUCAUCUGCAGAAAGCACUCAUUUCCCCAGCCCAGCUUCUCUGGAGAUUUCUGAGGAUUUCAUGCAAGACCAAGUGCCCGUGUGGACUGCAAGGAGAAACCCCCGGACAGACGCAGGCAUGGAGCUUGGAAAGCAGCCUGGGAGCAGAAUCGCAUGGUGGAAACAAUGCCAAGGGCACGGGCCCUAAUUGCCCCCAUCUGCUACAUGGUGGAAAGAGGAGGAGGAAGGAAAGAGUGAUAAAAAGUAUGAAUAACACUGCACAGGAAUAGAAUAAGGAGAAAUGGGCCAGAGUGAACUGGAGGGCUACAUGGGCCAAGCGUGCAUUUUUUUGAAGAAGAGUUUUGGGAUUUCCAAUUAAUCCUUCUAAACAGCUGCCCAUUCAUCUACACCACUGAAGAAGAUACCAUAAACUGCCUGGGAGAUUUGGCUCUGGGUCAAACUGUCUGACUUUCAGAUUUUAUAUCCUUUCCAAAUUACUUUUGAUUUAAAAUUGCUUUUCUUGUUUCUUGAAUCCAUUACUGCUUGUCCCUUCCAUAGAAAUAAUGGUUACCAGAAGACUAAUUUCAUAUGUUUCCCAACCCCCAAAUAAA